ensembl:misc_RNA Metazoa_SRP Metazoan signal recognition particle RNA
GCUGGGCAUGGUGGCGGAUGCCUGUGAUCCUAGCUACUCGGGAGGCUGAGGCAGGAGAAUUGCUUGAACCCGGGAGGCAGAGGUUGCAGUGAGCUGAGAUUGUGCCACUGCACUCCAGCCUGGGCGACAAAGCAAGACUCUGUCUCUA